rnacentral:snoRNA from 1 species
CAGAGAUGAUGUAGAACAUAUAUUUGCUACUUUGGACUCGCGCGAUAGCGAGAGAGAAUGAAAUAACAAUCCACCAAGAUCGCUGAUCUC